rnacentral:rRNA from 1 species
AGAGUUUGAUCAUGGCUCAGAUUGAACGCUGGCGGCAGGCCUAACACAUGCAAGUCGAGCGGUAACAGAACUAGCUUGCUAGUUGCUGACGAGCGGCGGACGGGUGCGUAACACGUAGGAAUCUACCCAGUAGCGGGGGAUAGCCCGGAGAAAUCCGGAUUAAUACCGCAUACGCACUAGCUUUCUUAGGAGAGCGGUGGAAAGCAGGGGCCUCUUCGGAACCUUGCACUAUUGGAUGAGCAUGCGUCGGAUUAGCUAGUUGGUGGGGUAAAGGCCUACCAAGGCAACGAUCCGUAGGUGGUCUGAGAGGAUGAUCAGCCACACUGGGACUGAGACACGGCCCAGACUCUUACGGGCGGCAGCAGCGGGGAAUAUUGCNCAAGGCGCCGCAGCCGCAUGCAGCCAUGCUCCGGUCAACCACAACUCCAUCGCCCGACGGG